ensembl:lncRNA
CCAACUGCCACCCCGGCCCCUCCUCUUCGCCGUCACCCUUGGCAACCAGCUUCGCCCCAUUCGCCGCCUCCACCUCCUCCUCUUCCUCUUCCUCCUCGUCUCACGGGAACCCGGCCCUGUGUGCCAAGGCGGCCGGCGGCCUGACCAAUGGGAACGCGAAGCCCGUGUCCACGGCGACCUCGGGACCAAUCACGCCCUUCCACACUCCCGCCAGUCCCGCCGGCCGACAGACCAAUCCGAUGGGGAUACCGGGUCUCGUGCGAGCCAAUCAGAGCCCGGCGCCCGUCAGGCAGGGGGUUUCCCAGCAGGCAUUGCUCUUAGGGAAAAGCCUCAAAGGGUCUGGCCAAGAUCAGGUGCUGCUCAGAGCCCAGAUGCUUAUUCUCACGUCUGCAAUGCGUCCCGUCUCUUCCUCCGCCACUUCCUCCUCCGCCUCCUGCUCUUCCUCCUUCUCCUCCUCUUCCUCUCAUCCUGCUUCCGCUCAGCUCUCUAUUCUCCAGUGAGGGCCGUCCCCCUGAGGCCACGGCUCAACCCCGC